UCUUAUCCAGAGAGGUGGAGGGAAAUGGCCCUAGGAAACCUCAGCAACAGGUCUCGCUUUAAAAGACACUGUGCUAAUUCCAUCGAGCAUGAUUGCUUGACAGAUAAGA
rnacentral:ncRNA from 1 species